rnacentral:rRNA from 2 species
AACCAAUAUUUUUGGUGACUCAUAAUAACUUUACGGAUCACAUUAUGUGACAUAUCAUUCAAGUUUCUGACCUAUCAGCUUUAGACGGUAGGGUAUUGGCCUACCGUGGCUAUGACGGGUAACGGGGAAUUAGGGUUCGAUUCCGGAGAGGGAGCCUGAGAAACGGCUACCACAUCUAAGGAAGGCAGCAGGCGCGCAAAUUACCCAAUCCUAAUACAGGGAGGUAGUGACAAGAAAUAACAAUACAGAACCUUACGGUUUUGUAAUUGGAAUGAGUUAAGUAUAAACCCCUUAACAAGUAUCAAUUGGAGGGCAAGUCUGGUGCCAGCAGCCGCGGUAAUUCCAGCUCCAAUAGCGUAUAUUAAAGUUGUUGCAGUUAAAAAGCUCGUAGUUAAUCUUCUGUUAAUUUUUAUAUAUAAUAUCUCGAUAUUUAUAUAAUAUUAACAUAAUUCAUAUUACUUUUUAGUAUAUGAAACUUUACUUUGAGAAAAUUAGAGUGCUUAAAGCAGGCUAUUGCCUUGAAUACUCCAGCAUGGAAUAAUAUUAAGGAUUUUUAUUCUUCUUAUUGGUUCUAGAAUAAAAAUGAUGAUUAAUAGGAACAGUUGGGGGCAUUUGUAUUUAACAGUCAGAGGUGAAAUUCUUAGAUUUGUUAAAGACAAACUACUGCGAAAGCAUUUGCCAAGGAUGUUUUCAUUAAUCAAGAACGAAAGUUAGGGGAUCGAAGACGAUCAGAUACCGUCGUAGUCUUAACCAUAAACUAUGCCAACUAGAGAU